rnacentral:rRNA from 1 species
AGUGGCGGACGGGGUGAGUAACGCGUGGGUAACCUGCCUCACACAGGGGGAUAACAGUUGGAAACGACCGCUAAUACCGCAUAAGCCAACAGGGGCGCAUGCUCUGGUUGGAAAAGAUUAAUCGGUGUGAGAUGGACCCGCGUCUGAUUAGCUGGUUGGUGAGGUAACGGCCCACCAAGGCGACGAUCAGUAGCCGACCUGAGAGGGUGACCGGCCACAUUGGGACUGAGACACGGCCCAAACUCCUACGGGAGGCAGCAG